rnacentral:rRNA from 1 species
UACAGAGACCCCGAACAUUAUCCGGAUUUACUGGGCGUAAAGAGUCUUAAGGCGGCUGAGCAAGUCUUUCGUGAAAUCCCUGGGCUCAACCUAGGAAUGGCGAAAGAUACUACUCAGCUAGAGGACGGUAGAGGUCAACGGAACAGCCGGUGUAGGGGUGAAAUCCGUUGAUAUCGGCUGGAACACCGAAAGCGAAGGCAGUUGGCUGGGCCGAUCCUGACGCUGAUUGACGAAAGCGUGGGGAUAGAACGGG